GAUGAAGAACGUAGCGAAAUGCGAUACGUAAUGUGAAUUGCAGAAUUCAGUGAAUCAUCGAGUCUUUGAACGCACAUUGCGCCCCCUGGUAUUCCGGGGGGCAUGCCUGUCCGAGCGUCAUUGCUGCCCUCAAGCACGGCUUGUGUGUUGGGCCUCCGUCCUCCUCCCGGGGGACGGGCCCGAAAGGCAGCGGCGGCACCGCGUCCGGUCCUCGAGCGUAUGGGGCUUCGUCACCCGCUCUUGUAGGCCCGGCCGGCGCUUGCCGACACAUCAAUCUUUUUUCCAGGUUGACCUCGGAUCAGGUAGGGAUACCCGCUGAACUUAAGCAUAUCAAUAAGCGGAGGGA
rnacentral:misc_RNA from 1 species